rnacentral:tRNA from 1 species
GGGGCUAUGGCUUAGUGGUAGAGCACUUGCCUCCCAUGCAUGAGUCACUAGGUUCAAUACUCAGCACCA